AUACGUAGGGUGCAAGCGUUAAUCGGAAUUACUGGGCGUAAAGCGUGCGCAGGCGGUUUUGUAAGACAGUGGUGAAAUCCCCGGGCUCAACCUGGGAACUGCCAUUGUGACUGCAAGGCUGGAGUGCGGCAGAGGGGGAUGGAAUUCCGCGUGUAGCAGUGAAAUGCGGAGAUAUGCGGAGGAACACCGAUGGCGAAGGGAAUCCCCUGGGCCUGCACUGACGCUCAUGCACGAAAGCGUGGGGAGCAAACAGGAUUAGAUACCCUGGUAGUCCACGCCCUAAACGAUGUCAACUGGUUGUUGGGGAUUUAUUUUCUCAGUAACGAAGCUAACGCGUGAAGUUGACCGCCUGGGGAGUACGGCCGCAAGGUUAAAACUCAAAGGAAUUGACGGGG
rnacentral:rRNA from 1 species